UACGGAGGGUGCGAGCGUUGUCCGGAAUCAUUGGGCGUAAAGGGCGCGUAGGUGGCUCGGCAAGCGUGCGGUGAAAGCUCGGGGCUCAACCCCGAGUCGGCCGUGCGAACUGCUGUGCUUGAGCACUGUAGAGGCAGGCGGAAUUCCGGGUGUAGCGGUGGAAUGCGUAGAGAUCCGGAAGAACACCGGUGGCGAAGGCGGCCUGCUGGGCAGUGGCUGACACUGAGGCGCGACAGCGUGGGGAGCAAACAGG
rnacentral:rRNA from 1 species